UACGUAGGGUGCGAGCGUUAAUCGGAAUUACUGGGCGUAAAGCGUGCGCAGGCGGUUUUGUAAGCCUGAUGUGAAAUCCCCGGGCUCAACCUGGGAAUGGCAUUUGGGACUGCAAGGCUGGAGUGUGGCAGAGGAGACUGGAAUUCCUGGUGUAGCAGUGAAAUGCGUAGAUAUCAGGAGGAAUACCGAUGGCGAAGGCAGGUCUCUGGGCUGACACUGACGCUCAUGCACGAAAGCGUGGGGAGCAAACAGG
rnacentral:rRNA from 1 species